GACAUUUUGGAAAAUACGAUCUUGCUUUUGAACUAUUGGAUAAAUUUAAGUCAGAAGAAUGUAGUUAUGACAAAUCUUGGUAUUUUAGUGUCCUCGGUCUUUUAUACUAUAACACCGGGAAGUAUAGCAAAGCUAAAAAUCAUCAUGAAAAAGCUCUGGAAAUUCGAAAGCAAUCGUUAGGUCCAAAUCAUGUUGAUGUCGCUACGUCUUUAAACAAUCUUGGUACGGUGUUUUAUAAAACUGGAAACUACGACAAAGCUAUAGAGUUUUACGAGAAAGCUCUGGAAAUUCGAAAACAAUCGUAAGGUCCAAAUCAUGUUGAUGUCGCUGCGUAUUUAUACAAUCUUGGUGCUGUGUAUUCUGAAAUUGGAAACUACGACAAAGCUAUAGAGUUUAGCGAAAAAGCUCUGGAAAUUCAAAAACAAUUGUUAGGUCCAAAUCAUGUUGUUGUCGCUAGGUCUUUAAACAAUCUAGGUACGGUGUUUUAUAAAACUGGAAACUACGACAAAGCUAAAGAGUUUAGCGAAAAAGCUCUGGAAAUCCGAAAACAAUCGUUAGGUCCAAAUCAUGUUGAUGUCGCUGCGUCUUUACACAGUCUUGGUUUGGUGUUUGAUAAGACUGGAAAUUACGACAAAGCUUUAGAGUUCCACAAAAAAGCUAAGGAAAUUCGCAAGAAAAACGUUAGGAACUAGUCACGUUGAUUUCGCUAAGUCUUUUAAACAAUCUAGGUGUGCUGUAUUAUGAAACUAGGGAAUAUGACAAAGCUUUACAGUUACACUUUGGUAGCUACGUGUUUCAAAGAAAAUUGUGUCUUCCAAUUUAUGUUAACCUAUUUUUAACACAUAGACCGUAGGAGCAAGUCUUCCACCUGCCAAGUCAACUCCCCUCUCCCUCAGAAAAUAUUUUUGGUACUGAACGAACAAAACGUUUGCAGUUUGUUGGCUAAAAUGAACCUAAAGAUGUAAUGGUCCUUGUUUAUAGAUAUAGUUUCACUGAUAUCUAGUCAACAAACUUACUCUACAGCCCGGCAAUCAUCGUAAGUAAAACUUAGAAUGAUUGCCUGGGAUAUCCUGAAUCUGACAUUCUCCUUUAGACUUUAUUUCUUAAGAAAAUUGUUUUUAUGUUAUAACCAAGUAGUAAUUUUUAUUUUAUGAUUCACAAACAUACUAAAGUAUAUUGGGAUGACAGAAUUUUAUGACAUAAAUUUUGUUAAAUAAAUACUAUCCUGUUAGUUUUUCA